rnacentral:rRNA from 1 species
GACGAACGCUGGCGGCGUGCUUAACACAUGCAAGUCGAACGGUGAACUCCGCUUGCGGGGGGAUCAGUGGCGAACGGGUGAGUAACACGUGGGCAACCUGCCCUCAGCUCUGGGAUAACUCCAAGAAAUUGGGGCUAAUACCGGAUAUGACCGCUGACCGCAUGGUCUGGUGGUGGAAAGAUUUAUCGGCUGGGGAUGGGCCCGCGGCCUAUCAGCUUGUUGGUGGGGCAGUGGCCUACCAAGGCGACGACGGGUAGCCGGCCUGAGAGGGUGACCGGCCACACUGGGACUGAGACACGGCCCAGACUCCUACGGGAGGCAGCAGUGGGGAAUAUUGCGCAAUGGGCGAAAGCCUGACGCAGCGACGCCGCGUGGGGGAUGACGGCCUUCGGGUUGUAAACCUCUUUCAGCAGGGACGAAGCGAAAGUGACGGUACCUGCAGAAGAAGCACCGGCCAACUACGUG